rnacentral:rRNA from 1 species
AGUACGUGAAACUGCUUAGAGGUUAAACCCGAUGAACCUGAAUAUCCAUUAUGGAAAAUUCAUCACUAAUAAUAUAAUAUAAAUAAUAUUGUAUAAAUAGUGUGCAAUUUUUCCAUAUAAGGACAUUGUAAUCUGUUAAUGUAAUAAAUAUUUAUCAUAAGAUUCAUUACACUAAGUUUAUUCAAAUUAUUUAUUUUCGGAUAUUUAACAUAGAAUAAAUGUUUUGGAUUUGAUAAAUCAUUGACAGAUAUAAUUAUAUAAUGUGCUUAAAUUCUUUUGAAUUUUAUCAAUGGUAGAAAAUAUUUUAUUUUUUAUUUAAUUGAUAUGCACUAUUAUGAUUAACAAUGCGAGAGAUUCAGGAUACCUUCGGGACCCGUCUUGAAACACGGACCAAGGAGUCUAACAUAUGUGCAAGUCAUUGGGUAUUUUUAAUAAAACCCAAUGGCGUAAUUAACUUAACUGAUUUAAUGGGAUUAGUUUAUAUUUUGUUAUGAAAUAUUAAUUCAAUCCCGGGGCGUUCUAUAUAGUUAUGUAUAAUAGUAUUUAUAUUAUUUAUACCUCUAACUUGAGC